AACUUAAGCAUAUCAAUAAGCGGAGGAAAAGAAACCAACAGGGAUUGCCUCAGUAACGGCGAGUGAAGCGGCAACAGCUCAAAUUUGAAAUCUGGCCUCCUUUGGGGUCCGAGUUGUAAUUUGUAGAGGAUGCUUCGGGUUCGGCCACGGUCUAAGUUCCUUGGAACAGGACGUCAUGGAGGGUGAGAAUCCCGUGUGGGACCGCCGGCCACGCCCGUGUGAAGCGCCUUCGACGAGUCGAGUUGUUUGGGAAUGCAGCUCAAAAUGGGUGGUAAAUUUCAUCUAAAGCUAAAUAUUGGCCAGAGACCGAUAGCGCACAAGUAGAGUGAUCGAAAGAUGAAAAGCACUUUGGAAAGAGAGUUAAAAAGCAUGUGAAAUUGUUGAAAGGGAAGCGCUUGCCACCAGACUUGCCCCCGGGUGUUCAACCGGCGUUCUCGCCGGUGCACUCGCCCGGGGUCAGGCCAGCAUCGGUUCAAGCGGCCGGAUAAAGGCCCCUGGAAUGUGGCUCCCCUCGGGGAGUGUUAUAGCCACGGGGUGCAAUGCGGCCCGCCUGGACCGAGGAACGCGCUUCGGCUCGAUGCG
rnacentral:rRNA from 1 species